CUGCCAGGUGCAGUUCCUGCUCACACCCCUGUGCUCAGCUCUGGCAGGGUCUGUGCACAGGGAUAGGGGCAGCAGAAGGUGCCUUCCAGAUGGAGAUCACUGCAGGCCAGGGCACGGCCCAGAAAAUCACAACAAGCAGCACUUACAUAACAGCUCUCUGACCUAACAUCAUUUCACUGCUGCAGUCAGCUACGGAGGACGAGGGGUGGAGUUUGUGUUUUGUCUGUGCACUUUUUUCCCCAUUCGGAUGAGAUGACAACACUAGAGCAGUGGAAAAACAGCACAGGUUACAGAAAGUUGAGACUGUGCAGAUGUGUCUGGAGAGCUAACACCCAGCCCACAGAGUACCAGCACCCUCAGUGAGACUUUGUGUACUCUGCUGAUGCUUUCAGACCUGGGGACAAGCACUGCAAAACAGCCAGGUAUUCCAGUUCUUUAAAGCACCCUUGGCUUCCUGAAGUGCCUGUGGAUAACCCCCUGAUCUGCCCAGCAGAAAUCUGAAUGCUGAUAAGUGUUCAUGUUUUGGGAGAUAGCUCCAGGCACAGGGGGUGUGGCCGUGCACUGGAAACCUCUCCAGACGAGUUUGUGUUGCAGUGAGGAAUGAACACAUUCUCAGAGUUCCUCUGCAUGAAAGCAAUCAGUUGUCAGUUUUUCCUGAUCUUUUGUGUGAAGCACAUAGAGACAAGUACAAAACACAGCAUUUUGAGUGCUUCCACGAGGUGACAGUGAGUGUAAGAGACGGAGGAGGAGUUACUGGUGCAAAGCAUCCUCAGUGUCUGCAGCUCCUUGGCCCAAAAGAAGGGAUUUGAGGUUACUUUCCUGCCCCCUUCCCCUCCAAGGUUUUUAUACUCUUAAACUGUGGGGGUUUUGAUGCCUUAAUAACGUUCUCUGACAGAUUUCUUUCUGGAGGACAUCACUCUGUCUCUUCAGUUUUCUCUGAGUUUAUUGCAGCUCUACAUGACAGAAACUCUUACUUUUGUAGUGUCUGAUCACCGCGGCAUGUGGUCUGCAAGGAAAAUUCCCAGGCAUGUGGCUCUAUGGAUAGGGAAAAAUAACUGCAGUAAAGCUGGAUUGAAUAAAGACCCAGUCACUUCCCACUGGCUGGUAUCUUUGCUGAUAUCCCAGGAUGAUGGCUGUGGGCUCCUCCUCAGCACACAGAAGAUGCCAGGCAGGAGGCACCAUUCCUCAAAAGCAGGACACGCUGGGAAGGCGUCUGUGAAAUGCUGCUCUUAAUUCAAAAAGACCUUUGAAAGGUUCUUUCCAGCCUUCCAGAAGAGGAAGGAGAUCCACUGGGGGGCAGGUGAAACAGAUGCUGGGUGCAGGUAAAAGCUGAGCAGCUCCUGAAAGCCCCGCCAGCACAAAUCAGUUCCCACCUGACUUCUGCAUCCAUUCACCUUCUUUGCACUGCUCUGUUCCUUCACAAAAAUAUUAUUGCAUUGAAAGCAGAACAAGGCAGGGGACAGAAGUACCUUGGCUCCAGCACAGAGAAGACAGAUUUGCUCUACAAACUUUGUCACCUGGAAAAAUUUGCAGUUUUCUUUAAUGACAAAUAACACACGAAGCAAGAGGAAAUCUGCCAAGCAUGGCAGAAGCUGUAAGUCACCACUAACAGGGACUCUUUAUCAGUGACAAGUCAUGAAGAAAAGGAAACACAACCACUGCAGCCCCACUGCAUGGUAACUCAAAGCUUGAGAAACAUCUAGAACACACAUAAUUCAUAAAGAUUGAAAGUUGUUAAACCCAGCAACAACUGAAGUGAUUAAGUCCAGGCUUAUUCUGAUGUAGGGCACUAGAGAGGCUCAACCAGAAUGUACCAGGCACAAACCACUCAGGUUUUGCUGCCCUGUUUUGGAGUAAUUCUUCCCAGUAUUUGUCAAUCCAUCAUUUUUGCCAUCAGAGCUGGGAUUUCUUUGCAGAGAAUGAGGAGUAUUGGACAGCAGAUUAGUGGGAAGGAAGCUUAUGAAAUGGAGGAGCAAACGGCAAUCCAGCACUGGCAAACUGGGAAUUCCUUGGCUUUGCCUUGCAGCCAGAAGAGUUGAGUGAUUAUUGGGGCUUAGAACAGCAUUGAUAUCAGAAUGGAGUUCCUGCAUUUGACCCAUUUAGAGAGAGUCACCAGACAGUUCUUUAAGUUGGAAAGAACUGGAAAUCCAUUAAUUAGUUUGGCUUUAUCCAGAAGUGUAAUAUAUUUAAUUCUUUCCCAGUGCUGGACCAGGCAGUCAGUAAUUACACUAAUAGUGUUAUCUCCCUUAUUAAAGAAUGUCUUAUCUGAGUAAUAUUGCUGAUUUGUAUGCAUCUGGUAUAACUUGAACUUUCAGGACUUUUUGUGGCCAUAUAUAUGGUUUUGACUUUCUUUUGAUUCUUCCUGACUCCUCAGAUAUAAUGUCUUUCUUGGUUAACAAAAUUACAUUUUUAUCUCUAGGUUUAAACUGGUUUAUAGCAACAAGGGUAAGUUUUAAUUCCAAGCAAAAGUUUGAGUAUGACCAAGAGUUCUGACCCUCCCCUCAUCUCUGCUAGCAAGGGUGAGGCUGCUCCAGUUGUAAAAUACCCUCGUGCUUCACAUGGUGCUCCCAACAUUCCGCUUCAGGCAUGCAGGCAAAGAGUGGUUUUCAUAUAAGCUGGUCCAAGUUUGCUUGGAAUCUUCAUAUUUCUUAGAUUAUUUUUUCAACAAAGGAAUUUUUCUGACAGCUUGUACUAAGCUAUCUACAAAAAGUUAUUUCUCCUUCACUUGAGUUUGCUCUUGAAUUUU